CCCCGAGCACGCACAGUCACCGCCCAGCCGCAACCCCGCGCUCCCUCUCGCGAAGCCACACCCCCUGCGCACGCCGCGCGCGACGUCUCUCCCGCCCACUCCAGCCUGGCCCCGCCCCGGCCCAGCUACAUUCCCGGGCCAGCUUCUGUACUGCCAGGUCCGGGUCGGCGGCUGCACUGCGGAUGAGACCGGUGCGACUCAUGAAGGUGUUCGUCACCCGCAGGAUACCCGCCGAGGGUAGGGUCGCGCUCGCCCGGGCGGCAGACUGUGAGGUGGAGCAGUGGGACACGGAUGAGCCCAUCCCCGCCCAGGAGCUAGAGCGAGGUGUGGCGGGGGCCCAUGGCCUGCUCUGCCUCCUCUCCGACCACGUGGACAAGAGGAUCCUGGAUGCUGCAGGGGCCAAUCUCAAAGUCAUCAGCACCAUGUCUGUGGGCGUCGACCACUUGGCUUUGGAUGAAAUCAAGAAGCGUGGGAUCCGAGUUGGCUACACCCCAGAUGUCCUGACAGAUACCACCGCCGAACUCGCAGUCUCCCUGCUACUUACCACCUGCCGCCGGUUGCCGGAGGCCAUCGAGGAAGUGAAGAAUGGUGGCUGGACCUCGUGGAAGCCCCUCUGGCUGUGUGGCUAUGGACUCACGCAGAGCACUGUCGGCAUCAUCGGGCUGGGGCGCAUAGGCCAGGCCAUUGCUCGGCGUCUGAAACCAUUCGGUGUCCAGAGAUUUCUGUACACAGGGCGCCAGCCCAGGCCUGAGGAAGCAGCGGAAUUCCAGGCAGAGUUUGUGUCUACCCCUGAGCUGGCUGCCCAAUCUGAUUUCAUCGUCGUGGCCUGCUCCUUAACACCUGCAACCGAGGGACUCUGCAACAAGGACUUCUUCCAGAAGAUGAAGGAAACAGCUGUGUUCAUCAACAUCAGCAGGUAUCCUAGGGCCACCUUACCCAGCAAGCCUGGAGAGGAGCCAUCCCCACUGCUGCCAUCUGGAGAUUUUCUUCCCCGUGGGUUGUUGGGGCGACGUCGUAAACCAGGACGACCUGUACCAGGCCUUGGCCAGUGGUAAGAUUGCAGCUGCUGGACUGGAUGUGACAAGCCCAGAACCACUGCCUACAAACCACCCUCUCCUGACCCUGAAGAACUGUGUGAUCCUGCCCCACAUUGGCAGUGCCACCCACAGAACCCGCAACACCAUGUCCUUGUUGGCAGCUAACAACUUGCUGGCUGGCCUGAGAGGGGAGCCGAUGCCUAGUGAACUCAAGCUGUAGCCAAACAGUAGAGAUGGAGGGCCGGGAAGCAAACCGUGCCCUGGUAUUGUCAGACACACCCAGGCUUGAUUUGGAUCCACAGGCAGAGCCAAGGGAAGGUGUGAUUCUCUUGAGGAAAGAGUGAUUCUGAUAUAUGUACUUGUCACAUUGGUGUUGGACACAUUUGCGCCAAAAGUAUGGUAAUUCUAUUAUUAAAUAAUUCUCUGAGA